rnacentral:rRNA from 1 species
UACGAAGGGAGCUAGCGUUGUUCGGAAUCACUGGGCGUAAAGCGCACGUAGGCGGAUUUGUCAGUCAGGGGUGAAAUCCCGGGGCUCAACCUCGGAACUGCCUUUGAUACUGAAGAUCUUGAGUUCGGGAGAGGUGAGUGGAACUGCGAGUGUAGAGGUGAAAUUCGUAGAUAUUCGCAAGAACACCAGUGGCGAAGGCGGCUCACUGGCCCGAUACUGACGCUGAGGCACGAAGGUCAGGGGAGCAAACGGG